GCCUGGCUGGCUCAUUUGGAAGAGCGUGGGACUCUUGAUCUUGGGGUCAUGAGUUUGAGCCCCAUGUUAGGUA
rnacentral:tRNA from 1 species